rnacentral:ncRNA from 1 species
AUUGUAGGCUGACUAUAUAAGCCCUGGUGAAUGUCGGCCGUAACUAUAGACUGGACUGUUGUAGUUACAAAAAAUUCUGCUAUAUGCUGGAAAAUCCGAGAAUCUAACAGUACUCACUUGGCGGUUUAACCACCAAGUAGUGAAAAUCUGUUCAGCGCGGACAAUCAGCAGGGAAGAUCCUGAGAGAAAUCGAAGGAAACCCUCAGAGACUAUACGCAGAACUCCGAGAGAAAUCGAGGAGAUGAUAUAGUCCGAUCUCAUUGGCGACAAUGAG